rnacentral:rRNA from 1 species
AUUGAACGCUGGCGGCAUGCCUUACACAUGCAAGUCGAACGGCAGCGCGGACUUCGGUCUGGCGGCGAGUGGCGAACGGGUGAGUAAUACAUCGGAACGUACCCUGUUGUGGGGGAUAACUAGUCGAAAGAUUAGCUAAUACCGCAUACGACCUGAGGGUGAAAGUGGGGGACCGCAAGGCCUCACGCAGCAGGAGCGGCCGAUGUCUGAUUAGCUAGUUGGUGGGGUAAAGGCCCACCAAGGCGACGAUCAGUAGCUAGUCUGAGAGGACGAUCAGCCACCCUGGGCCUGAGACCCGGCCCAGCCUCCUCCGGGGGGCAGAGGGGGGGAUUUUUGGACAAGGGGGGCAACCCUGCUCCAGCAAUGCCGCGUGGGUGAAGAAGGCCUUCGGGUUGUAAAGCACUUUUUUCCGGAAAAAAAUCGCCCUGGUUAACCCCUGGCGGGGAGGGCGGUACCGGAAAAAUAAGCACCGGCUACCUCCGU